GAUGAAGAACGUAGCGAAAUGCGAUAAGUAAUGUGAAUUGCAGAAUUCAGUGAAUCAUCGAAUCUUUGAACGCACCUUGCGCCCUUUGGCCAUUCCGAAGGGCAUGCCUGUUUGAGUAUCAUGAACACCUCAACUCUUUAUGGUUUUCCAUGAUGAGCUUGGACUCUGGGGGUUUUGCUGGCUCACAGUCGGCUCCUCUAAAAUGAAUCAGCUUACCAGUGUUUGGUGGGUAUCAUGGGUGUGAUAACUAUCUACGCUUGUGGUUUUUCCACCAGGUAACCUUCAGCAGUGGAGGUUCGCUGGAGCUCAUAGAUGUCUCUCCUCAGUGAGGACAGCCCUUUGAAUGUUUGAUCUCAAAUCAGGUAGGACUACCCGCUGAACUUAAGCAUAUAAUAAGCGGAGGA
rnacentral:misc_RNA from 1 species